rnacentral:rRNA from 1 species
UACAGAGGUCUCAAGCGUUGUUCGGAUUCAUUGGGCGUAAAGGGUGCGUAGGUGGCGCGGUAAGUCGGGUGUGAAAUCUCGGAGCUUAACUCCGAAAUUGCAUUCGAUACUGCCGUGCUCGAGGACUGGAGAGGAGACUGGAAUUCAUGGUGUAGCAGUGAAAUGCGUAGAGAUCAUGAGGAAGACCAGUGGCGAAGGCGGGUCUCUGGACAGUUCCUGACACUGAGGCACGAAGGCCAGGGGGAGCAAACGGG